rnacentral:lncRNA from 1 species
GUGUGUGUGUGUGUGUGUUUGAAGCCUCAGGGGGCAAUUCGUGUCUAAGAGUGAAAUUCAGCUGUUAUUUCGAGUAAGUCGGACCACCAGGGAGACGAUUCGCUGGUACCCGUUAACUUUGUUGACGUUGGCUCGUCACGGUAACCAUGAAAGGAGCGCGAAAAUGAGUGAGAGAAAAAUACAGUGAAAGAAGGAAGGUGUAAGAGAAUCAGACAGAUAGACGGUUAGGGAGGGGGAGAGAGAGGUAAGAGGAGUGGUGAGAGGAGGAUUGCAUAACUAAACGUUACACACGAGAUAAGGUGCGAGAGGGUGCAGAAGAAAAGAAAGGGGAUUACACACCUACUUUUGCUAGUAAUAAGUAUUCAUUUGGACGAAUUCGUCAUAACUGUUGGUGUUGUUCUCCUUACCCUUGUAAUAGAAGCAAUAUCUAACACGCCACAUUCUCAGCCAGUGCAGGUUUAUGACCCAUUGCCCCCACGAAAUAGUUAGCUUUACUGAAUGAUUAAAACCAAGACCUUUCACGUGAAAGAAUCUGCAAUACAUUUAAUGAAUACCAUUCAGUUAUCUUAAGAAAGU